UACGGGGGGGGCAAGCGUUGUUCGGGAUUACUGGGCGUAAAGGGCUCGUAGGUGGCCAACUAAGUCAGACGUGAAAUCCCUCAGCUUAACUGGGGAACUGCGUCUGAUACUGGAUGGCUUGAGUUUGGGAGAGGGAUGCGGAAUUCCAGGUGUAGCGGUGAAAUGCGUAGAUAUCUGGAGGAACACCGGUGGCGAAGGCGGCAUCCUGGACCAACACUGACACUGAGGAGCGAAAGCCAGGGGAGCAAACGGG
rnacentral:rRNA from 1 species